GACGAACGCUGGCGGCGUGCCUAACACAUGCAAGUUGAGCGACGAACCAGGGCUUGCCCUGGGGCAAAGCAGCGAACGGGUGAGUAACACGUGGGUAACCUACCCCGAUAACCGGGACAACCCGAGGAAACUCGGGCUAAUACCGGAUGUGCUCACUGGACUUCGGUUCAGUGCGUAAAGGAAGCUUCGGCCUCCGUAUCGGGAGGGGCCCGCGGCCCAUUAGUUUGUUGGUGAGGUAACGGCUCACCAAGACCGCGAUGGGUAGCUGGUCUGAGAGGACGAUCAGCCACACUGGGACUGAGACACGGCCCAGACUCCUACGGGAGGCAGCAGUGGGGAAUCUUGCGCAAUGCGCGAAAGCGUGACGCAGCAACGCCGCGUGGGGGAAGAAGGCCUUCGGGUUGUAAACCCCUUUCAGGAGGGACGAAGGUUCGGCGGUGAAUAGCCGUCCGGACUGACGUUACCUCCACAAGAAGCCCCGGCUAACUACGUG
rnacentral:rRNA from 1 species